GUAGGGUGCGAGCGUUGUUCGGAGUUAUUCGGCGUAAAGGGCGUGUAGGCGGCUUGAGAAGUCUGGUUUGAAAUGCACUGGCUCAACUGGUGCGCUGGGUCAGAAACUGGCAGGCUUGAGUUCAUGGGGAGGAGCUGGAAUUCCAGGUGUAGGGGUGAAAUCUGUAGAGAUCUGGAAGAACACCGGUAGCGAAGGCGGGCUCCUAUGGAUGGACUGACGCUGAGGCGCGAAAGCGUGGGGAGCAAACAGGAUUAGAUACCCUGGUAGUCCACGCUGUAAACGAUGUGCACUAGGUAUGGGGUACGAGAUGUACUCCGUGUCGGAGCGAACGCGUUAAGUGCACCGCCUGGGGAGUAUGCUCGCAAGGGUG
rnacentral:rRNA from 1 species